rnacentral:rRNA from 1 species
AGUACGAGGGGCAUCGAGGAAGAAAGCUUGUUUUCUUUGCCGGCGACCGGCGCACGGGUGAGUAACACGUAUCCAACCUGCCCUUUACACGGGGAUAGCCUUUCGAAAGAAAGAUUAAUACCCGAUGCCAUAAUGAUUCCGCAUGGUUUCAUUAUUAAAGGAUUCCGGUAAAGGAUGGGGAUGCGUUCCAUUAGGUUGUUGGUGAGGUAACGGCUCACCAAGCCUUCGAUGGAUAGGGGUUCUGAGAGGAAGGUCCCCCACAUUGGAACUGAGACACGGUCCAAACUCCUACGGGAGGCAGCAGUGAGGAAUAUUGGUCAAUGGGCGCUAGCCUGAACCAGCCAAGUAGCGUGAAGGAUGAAGGCUCUAUGGGUCGUAAACUUCUUUUAUAUAAGAAUAAAGUGCAGUAUGUAUACUGUUUUGUAUGUAUUAUAUGAAUAAGGAUCGGCUAACUCCGUGCCAGCAGCCGCGGUAAUACGGAGGAUCCGAGCGUUAUCCGGAUUUAUUGGGUUUAAAGGGAGCGUAGGUGGACUGGUAAGUCAGUUGUGAAAGUUUGCGGCUCAACCGUAAAAUUGCAGUUGAUACUGUCAGUCUUGAGUACAGUAGAGGUGGGCGGAAUUCGUGGUGUAGCGGUGAAAUGCUUAGAUAUCACGAAGAACUCCGAUUGCGAAGGCAGCUCACUGGACUGCAACUGACACUGAUGCUCGAAAGUGUGGGUAUCAAAC